GUGUGUGGCUCAGUGGUAGAGCACUUGCCUAAUAUGUGCAAGGCCCUGGGUUUGACACCCAGCAAAACACA
rnacentral:tRNA from 1 species